rnacentral:rRNA from 1 species
GACGAACGCUGGAGGCGUGCUUAACACAUGCAAGUCGAACGAUGAAAUGGAGCUUGCUCCAUGGAUUAGUGGCGAACGGGUGAGUAACACGUGAAUAACCUGCCCUUAAUUUUGGAAUAACCCAGGGAAACCUGGGCUAAUACCGGAUAAGUAAACCUGUGGCAUCACAUGGUGUUGGAAAGUUUUUCGAUUAAGGAUGGAUUCGCGGCCUAUCAGCUUGUUGGUGAGGUAAUGGCUCACCAAGGCGACGACGGGUAGCCGGCCUGGGAGGGUGAACGGCCACAAUGGGACUGAGGCACGGCCCAGACUCCUACGGGAGGCAGCAGUGGGGAAUAUUGCGCAAUGGACGAAAGUCUGACGCAGCGACGCCUCGUGAGGAACGAAGGUCUUCGGAUUGUAAACCUCUUUCAGCAGGGACGAAGCGAAAGUGACGGUACCUGCAGAAGAAGCACCGGCUAACUAUGUGCCAGCCGCCGCGGUAA